GCUUCCUGCUGAGCGCUUAAAACAAAGAGCUUAUUGUGGCUAUUUCUGAGGAACGAGAAAACGAAUGACCUCUGAGAAAGAGGGAGAGGAAGAGAGAGGAAGAGAGAGGAAGAGAGAGGAAGAGAGAGAAUAAUGUUACACUAGCACAGAAGGCAUGAAUACAUGAAGACAUGGAGCAAAAAUUAUAAGAAGCGAAGCGGGCGAGUUGUAGACGUUGGCACUAUCACGUAAGACGAUCGGCAUUAAAAUCAGAAGCAUGAUGGCAAGAAAAGGACAGGAUGUUAUAGACAUACGUCCCCCGAAGAGGAGGAAGAAAAAAGAAAGAGAAAGCAAACAAACACACACACACACAAAAAUAAUAAUAAAAAGUCCCGGCAGUCAAAACAAGUGUGUAAGAAAACAAGCAGCAGACAAGAGGAGUGAUUAAAGGGAGGAUGCGUUUCUCUGUCCUUCUCUCAGAUUCAAACCUCUUCGUCCUUCUAGAAAGAGACAUCGUACAUCCAGCGCUCUCGUAAGCUCGUUCCUCUUUACGUCUGUCUUCUAAAACAUCAUGACACCAGCACAGACACCAGCACCAUUCAUGUUGAUAAGCUAAUAACGCUAAUAAAGCUAAAACCCCCAGAAGAGAAUGUUUUUAUUUAUUUGUUUGUUUGUUUGUCUGUUUGUUUUUCCUUGGCACUGUUGCUGUUGCUUCGUUCAACGGAGCCUCGGCACUGAGCUUUUUUGAAAAAUGUAAGAAUUUGACCUAAUUAACUGUGUGAGUGGAGUUCAGGAUUUACAUGUUGUGUCUUUUCCAAAAAAAAAUCUAUUUUAAAUAAAAACACAUAGAUAAAUACAAGAAAGACAGACAGAUCAACAGACCGACCGACAGACCGACAGAUAGACAGA